UAAGCGUGAGGACCCUCCGCCCGGGAAGUGGCCCAGGGAAAGGCAGAGGGGAGCGUGGGAGCUGUUUAUCCCGAGGAGAGACACCACACGAAUCAGGCUCCUACUGAAUUUUCCCCGAUUAUUAGUGUGCAUUUGUGUGGGCAGUGGAGGAAUCCGCUUGUUAAAUAUCUCUUGGAAAUCCAUUAGCUCAGCAUCCGACUUUUGGAGGUAAAGAAGCAGAGAUUUAGCGAACAGAAGCCCCCAAGCGAUCACUGGGGAGAUAUCGGCUGUUGGGGUGCAGCGCCCUGAGUCCCCUUCGUAAACACCUUUCCACGCUGUUGGGGCCAAAAGUGGAAUGAUUUUGCAGCACAUUACGGCUGCAGAAAGCUUCAGCCAGAAGCUGUUUGACAGCGACUGAUGUCGCUGUGCGUCAUGACAGCUUUGAGGCUAGCAGGCCGUGGCACCGUCAUCUGCAGACACGUGGCCUGAGAAGGCCAACGAGAGUGAACGGUUGCAUGUUUGAACUUCAGUACAACAGGGUAUGUAAGUCUUAUCAAAGGCACUGUAGUGGUUACUGCAACGUAAUUCUAGAUAACACCAAGGACCUCGGUUUGUAUCCUUUUUCCACAAGAGACGUCCAGCUGAAAUUUUCAGGGUCUUGGAGUGCACGUGGGAAUUUCAAGGUUGCAUUACGAGCUUGGAGCUGGAAAACUAGUUGUGAACUCUUCUCCUCGCUGGAUACUAACAUCAUGCAGCUUGCUUAUCCAUUCAUCCCCGCGUCCCACGCUCGUCACCAUGGAACGAGAAAACCCAGAGGGGUGAUUCUGGUAACAGGUCCGUGAGCCCAGCAGGCAGAGCUCGGGGGGACGGCCCGUGCUGUCCGCGGCAGAGCGACCACCAGCUGCCACUCCGCGUGCUGCCUGUGAAACCAGCCYGGGCCUCUUCGUACUUAAUUAGCUGCCCAGCCCCAAGCUUCCUGUGGCCAAAUUGCAAAAUAAAUAAAUGAAAACAUCUUUUUUUUUUUUUGGG
rnacentral:lncRNA from 1 species